rnacentral:rRNA from 1 species
UACAGAGGUCUCAAGCGUUGUUCGGAUUCAUUGGGCGUAAAGGGUGCGUAGGUGGCGCCAUAAGUCAGGUGUGAAAUCUCGGGGCUUAACUCCGAAACUGCAUUCGAUACUGGCGUGCUUGAGGACUGGAGAGGAGACUGGAAUUUACGGUGUAGCAGUGAAAUGCGUAGAUAUCGUAAGGAAGACCAGUGGCGAAGGCGGGUCUCUGGACAGUUCCUGACACUGAGACACGAAGGCCAGGGGAGCAAACGGG